rnacentral:rRNA from 1 species
GAGCGUGUGGAGGACCGAACCCACCUAGGUUGAAAACUGGGGGGAUGAGCUGUGGGUAGGGGUGAAAGGCCAAUCAAACUCCGUGAUAGCUGGUUCUCCCCGAAAUGCAUUUAGGUGCAGCGUUGCGUGGUCCCUGGUGGAGGUAGAGCUACUGGAUGGCCGAUGGGCCCUGUGGGUUACUGACGUCAGCCAAACUCCGAAUGCCAUUAGGUGUAGCGUGGCAGUGAGACUGCGGGGGAUAAGCUUCGUAGUCGAGAGGGAAACAGCCCAGAUCAUCAGCUAAGGCCCCUAAGCGUACGCUAAGUGGGAAAGGAUGUGGAGUCGCGGUGACAACCAGGAGGUUGGCUUAGAAGCAGCCAUCCUUGAAAGAGUGCGUAAUAGCUCACUGGUCAAGUGGUUCUGCGCCGACAAUGUAGCGGGGCUCAAGCGUACCGCCGAAGCUGUGGCAACAACACGAUUGUGCUGGCGCCAGGAACUGGAGUGCUGGUGUGUUGUUGGGUAGGGGAGCGUCCUGCACGAGGUGAAGCCUGGAGGUGACUUCUGGUGGAUUGUGUGGGAGUGAGAAUGCAGGCAUGAGUAACGAAUCUGCGGUGAGAAUCCGCAGCGCCGAUUGACUAAGGGUUCCAGGGCUAGGUUUAUCCGCCCUGGGUUAGUCGGGUCCUAAGGCGAGGCCGACAGGCGUAGUCGAUGGACAACCAGUUGAUAUUCUGGUACCGCGUUGUGACCGCCCAUGCUGAAGUCAUUGUGCUAACCAAUUUGCCUGCCACCUGCUGGGCCUUCGGGUUUGGUGGUGUGUGUGGGUCUUGGGGUCCCGGUGAUUGUAGGCAAGCGUGUUAACAGGGGUGACGCAGACAGGUAGCUGCAGUGCGCCGAUGGUUGUGCGUAUUUAAGGUUGUGGCCCGUCUCCUAGGUAAAUCCGGGGGGCAUUGUGGGUGAGAACUGAUGAGGGUGACACGGUUGUGUUGUCUUGUGGUGAUCCUAUGCUGCCAAGAAAAGCCUCGACGUGAGGGCAUGACGCGCCCGUACCCUAAACCGACUCAGGUGGUCAGGUAGAGUAUACCGAGGCGUUCGAGUGAAUCGUGGUUAAGGAACUCGGCAAAAUUCCUCCGUAACUUCGGGAUAAGGAGGACCCCGUGACUUCCCAACACCGCGCGUGUUGGUGGGGUUGUGGGGUCGCAGAGAAUAGGGAGAAGCGACUGUUUAUCAAAAACACAGGUGCGUGCGAAGCCGUAAGGCGAUGUAUACGCACUGACGCCUGCCCGGUGCUGGAAGGUUAAGAGGAACCGUCAACACUCCUUUGGGGUGUGAAGCGGUGAAUUUAAGCCCCAGUAAACGGCGGUGGUAACUAUAACCAUCCUAAGGUAGCGAAAUUCCUUGUCGGGUAAGUUCCGACCUGCACGAAUGGCGUAACGACUUCUCCGCUGUCUCAACCGCGAACUCGGUGAAAUUGCAGUACGAGUAAAGAUGCUCGUUUCGCGCAGAAGGACGGAAAGACCCCGGGACCUUUACUAUAGCUUGGUAUUGGUGUUCGCUUGGACUUGUGUAGGAUAGGUGGGAGACUGUGAAGCUGCCGCGCCAGCGGUGGUGGAGUCGUCGUUGAAAUACCAUUCUGGUUCAAGCGGUCACCUUAACCUUGGCCCGUGAUCCGGGUUGGGGACAGUGCCUGGUGGGUAGUUUAACUGGGGCGGUUGCCUCCUAAAAUGUAACGGAGGCGCUCAAAGGUUCCCUCAGCCUGGUUGGUAAUCAGGUGGCGAGUGCAAGUGUACAAGGGAGCUUGACUGUGAGACCGACGGGUCGAGCAGGUGCGAAAGCAGGAACUAGUGAUCCGGCCAUGGCACGUGGGUGCGUGGUCGCUCAACGGAUAAAAGGUACCCCGGGGAUAACAGGCUGAUCUUGCCCAAGAGUCCAUAUCGACGGCAUGGUUUGGCACCUCGAUGUCGGCUCGUCGCAUCCUGGGGCUGGAGUCGGUCCCAAGGGUUGGGCUGUUCGCCCAUUAAAGCGGUACGCGAGCUGGGUUCAGAACGUCGUGAGACAGUUCGGUCCCUAUCCUCUGUGCGCGCAGGAAAUUUGAGAAGGGCCGUCCCUAGUACGAGAGGACCGGGAUGGACGAACCUCUGGUGUGCCAGUUGUACCGCCAGGUGCAUGGCUGGUUAGCUACGUUCGGAAGGGAUAACCGCUGAAAGCAUCUAAGCGGGAAGCCUGCUUCAAGAUGAGGUUUCCACGCCCCCCCGUGGGGUGAGAGGCCCCCGCCAGACUAGCGGGUUGAUAGGCCAGAGGUGGAAGCACCGCGAGGUGCUCGUGAGCCGACUGGUACUAAUGGGCCAACACUAAACAAA